ACCGCUUUGGUCCGUGCGCAGCAGAGUCCGGUCACACACUCUACUCAGAGAGAGCUGGAGCAGCUUAAGAACAACAACCAGUGACUGGAACAACUGAGAGAGAUGGGAGGAAGAAGAAAGCUGGAAGAAGGCUUGACCCCAUGACCCACAGGAGCACAUGAUCCCUUUCAACAAUCUAUCCUCAUACAACAAAAAAUUCUUCUUAAGGAUCAACCCAGAUGAGGGCACCAAGUGCACUGCUACUGUGGGUACAAGCUACAAGACGGGAAGAGUCGUCCAAAGAAAGGUGACGAGCAUCAGCUCCAGAGUCACCACCUUCCUCCAACGGCUCACCGAAUUUGAGUGGAUGACAUCAAACUAGUCCAGUAUGGACCACCUCACCAGAGCAUCUCUGGAUUGGAGGCUCCAUCUUGGCCUCUCUGUCCGCCUUCCAGAAGAUGUGGAUCAGCAAGCAACAGUACUAUGGGUCCGGCCUCCACAAAUCCUUCUAAGCAGACUGUUCCUCCUUCCAAAGCCCAACAACUUCAGCUUUGUGGUAACAACCACACCACAUUUUGUAUACAUUUGCAAAUACAGGUUAUUUAGUUUUCUUCGGGAUUUAAAAUGUUCAAUUCGU